rnacentral:rRNA from 1 species
UGAGGAAUAUUGCACAAUGGGCGCAAGCCUGAUGCAGCGACGCCGCGUGUGGGAUGAAGGGGCUACGCCUCGUAGACCACUGUAGCCCGGGACGAAAAACGCCUUAGAGGCGUUAGACGGUACCGGGAAAGUAAGGGUCGGCUAACUACGUGCCAGCAGCCGCGGUAAUACGUAGGACCCAAGCGUUGUCCGGAUUUACUGGGUGUAAAGGGUGCGUAGGUGGGCUUAUAAGUCAGUGGUGAAAUCUCCGAGCUUAACUUGGAAACUGCCGUUGACACUAUAGGUCUUGAAUUAUCUGGAUGUAAGCGGAAUAUGUCAUGUAGCGGUGAAAUGCUUAGAUAUGACAUAGAACACCAAUUGCGAAGGCAGCUUACUACAUAUAAAUUGACGCUGAGGCACGAAAGCGUGGGGAUCAAACA